GCAUUGUGCGCGGAUUUAAUGUAACGGUUGUGGCAAAUAUGUCCGAUUUAAACACAAAACAAAGACAGUAAAGAAUCAUCCAACGUUCACUGGAUCAGUCGGAAAAGUAUUUAUUUCUCCUUUCACUAGAAGACAUCUCGGAAAAAAACCUCCAGUUAAACCGACUACUAUUUCCAAGAAAAGAUCUCCACCUGAUGCUUUUUAGAGAGGGCGUAGACCUGUGUCUCCAGUAUGUACGAUUCCCACCAACAUACUGACACAGCCGCUUGGCCACCGUGCCGUCUACCCCUCUCUACUGGACAAUGGAG